AGGAAGUCCAGACCAGCUAUAAGGGGAAAGGCCAGGCUUUCCUGAAUAAGGGUGUAUGUGCUCCCUGUAUCCAGUACCGCCUUCACCUCUCGUCCUUUUAUAGUUAUUGGCACUACUAGAAGAGAUGUCAUAGGGUGUGGUUGAGCAAUGGAUACUCCUGCUAGAUUUUUAGAGUCCUUCUCCACCAUAGAUCCCACCUUCACCAGCUGUUCCACUGAUUUCACCGUCCCUCUCAGACAGCCCGCAACUCUUGGGUUGAUAUUAUUAAGAAUACGGCUCACCAUCUCCUCAUCUGUAAUGGCCGGCUUCCAUUUCAGGCAGAGGGAUAGGCGAAAUCUCUCAAACGCUGAUUGGGUUGCUGCACCAGUGACCUCAACUUG